rnacentral:rRNA from 1 species
GAUUUCUGGUCUGGCGCGCCUGGCCCGCGGCGUUAGCUUGUGAGUGCCGGGUCGCGCCUGCCAUCCUUCUAGAAAACCUGUCUACCCUUCACUGGGCCGGACAGGCGAUCUAGAUCUUUUACUUUGAAAAAAUUAGAGUGUUUAAAGCAGGCUUUUGCUAUGAAUACAUUAGCAUGGAAUAAUAAUUUAGGACUUCGGUUCUAUUUUGUUGGUUUCUAGGACUGAAGUAAUGAUUGAUAGGGAUAGUUGGGGGUGCUAGUAUUCAGCGGCCAGAGGUGAAAUUCUCGGAUUCGCUGAAGACUAACUUAUGCGAAAGCAUU